UAAGCAACGUCACCGUGACCCGGAUGUACUUUAGCUCAACUUUAUAUCCCACAAUUCCUUUCUCCUUCGUCCUCUUUCCCUACAGCAGCCAUGUCUAAGAGAGGACGUGGUGGUUCUUCUGGAGCCAAGUUCCGCAUCUCACUGGGUCUCCCGGUGGGAGCGGUCAUCAACUGCGCUGACAACACAGGUGUAAGAACCCUGUAAAUUUAUUUAAGUUAAAAAGCAGUUGUUCUUAAAUAUUAUU